rnacentral:rRNA from 1 species
ACUCCUACGGGAGGCAGCAGUAGGGAAUCUUCCACAAUGGGCGAAAGCCUGAUGGAGUAACGCCGCGUGGGUGAAGAAGGUCUUCGGAUCGUAAAACCCUGUUGUUAGAGAAGAAAGUGCGUGAGAGUAACUGUUCACGUUUCGACGGUAUCUAACCAGAAAGCCACGGCUAACUACGUGCCAGCAGCCGCGGUAAUACGUAGGUGGCAAGCGUUAUCCGGAUUUAUUGGGGCGUAAAGGGAACGCAGGCGGUCUUUUAAGUCUGAUGUGAAAGCCUUCGGCUUAACCGGAGUAGUGCAUUGGAAACUGGGAGACUUGAGUGUAGAAGAGGAGAGUGGAACUCCAUGUGUAGCGGUGAAAUGCGUAGAUAUAUGGAAGAACACCAGUGGCGAAAGCGGCUCUCUGGUCUGUAACUGACGCUGAGGUUCGAAAGCGUGGGUAGCAAACAGGAUUAGAUACCCUGGUAGGAUAGCG